ACAAACUUGGUCAUUUAGAGGAAGUAAAAGUCGUAACAAGGUCUCCGUUGGUGAACCAGCGGAGGGAUCAUUAAAGGGUUCUCUGUAACUCCUAAAACCCCAUGUGAACAUACCCCACGUUGCCUCGGCAGGUCGCGCCCCCUAUCGCGGCCCCUAUUGUUAUAGGGGGCUUACCGCGGUGUAGGGCGCGGGCAAGCCUGCCGGCGGCCUACUAAAUCAACUCUGUAUAGCACUUGUAUUUCUAGAAAACAAAAAACAUAACAAGUUAAAACUUUCAACAACGGAUCUCUUGGUUCUGGCAUCGAUGAAGAACGCAGC
rnacentral:misc_RNA from 1 species